rnacentral:tRNA from 1 species
UCAGAUAAAUAAAUUUAUUAUAUCAUUAAUCUCCAAAAUUAAUAUUUUUACUUAAACUAUUAUCUG